rnacentral:lncRNA from 2 species
CCUCAGCUUCAGAGAGGUUCACGCAAAAGAGGUGCAGUUCUUUCCUUUGGUGUUGAUGCGAUAAAGAGGUUUUUGGAUGGAAACAAUCUGGGUAGGUGCCAUCACAAACUUGUUAACGUGCCUGAUGGCAUGUCAGACCUUGUUAUCCGAUGCCACAAAGUGAAGGAUAUGAAAUCAAACAUGAUGGAAAGUUUAUUCAGUUUUUCUGCUCCUAGUUGUUUCUACCAGGUGCAUUUAUUCCGUUCACUUCUCCAGAUCUAA